rnacentral:rRNA from 1 species
AACGAACGCUGGCGGCAGGCUUAACACAUGCAAGUCGAACGCCCCGCAAGGGGAGUGGCAGACGGGUGAGUAACACGUGGGGAUCUGCCCAAUGGUACGGAAUAGCUCCGGGAAACUGGAAUUAAUACCGUAUGUGCCCGCAAGGGGAAAGAUUUAUCGCCAUUGGAUGAACCCGCGUCGGAUUAGCUAGUUGGUGUGGUAAAGGCGCACCAAGGCGACGAUCCGUAGCUGGUCUGAGAGGAUGAUCAGCCACACUGGGACUGAGACACGGCCCAGACUCCUACGGGAGGCAGCAGUGGGGAAUAUUGGACAAUGGGCGCAAGCCUGAUCCAGCCAUGCCGCGUGAGUGAUGAAGGCCUUAGGGUUGUAAAGCUCUUUCGCCGACGAAGAUAAUGACGGUAGUCGGAGAAGAAGCCCCGGCUAACUUCGUGCCAGCCGCCGCCGUAAAAC